rnacentral:rRNA from 1 species
CCUACGGGGGGCAGCAGUGAGGAAUAUUGGUCAAUGGCCGUAAGGCUGAACCAGCCAAGUCGCGUGAAGGAAGAAGGAUCUAUGGUUUGUAAACUUCUUUUAUAGGGGAAUAAAGGUAUCCACGUGUGGAUUUUUGCAUGUACCCUAUGAAUAAGCAUCGGCUAACUCCGUGCCAGCAGCCGCGGUAAUACGGAGGAUGCGAGCGUUAUCCGGAUUUAUUGGGUUUAAAGGGUGCGUAGGUUGUUUUUUAAGUCAGCGGUGAAAGUUUGUGGCUCAACCAUAAAAUUGCCGUUGAAACUGGAAGACUUGAGUGUGUUUGAGGUAGGCGGAAUGCGUGGUGUAGCGGUGAAAUGCAUAGAUAUCACGCAGAACUCCGAUUGCGAAGGCAGCUUACUAAGCCAUAACUGACGCUGAAGCACGAAAGCGUGGGGAUCAAACAGGAUUAGAUACCCCAGUAGUC